CGCACUUGCCAUAAUGAGUUUUCUUUUGUUCCUUCCCUCUAGUAUUCUAGGAGAUGAGGUUUUGGGAAUCUGGUCCAGACAUGCUGAGAAAGCUGAUGUCAACUGUGCCUGUGUAUCUCAUUCAGGAAUCAGUCUUGUUACAGGAGAUGACUUUGGCAUGGUUAAGUUAUUUGACUUCCCAUGUCCAGAAAAAUUUGCAAAACACAAAAGGUUCUUGGGUCAUUCGCCCCAUGUGACAAAUAUUCGAUUUACCAGUGGUGAUCGACAUGUUGUUAGUGCUGGAGGUGAUGACUGCAGCUUAUUUGUCUGGAAAUGUGUACAUACACCUCACUGAGAGAUGCUGAGAUGACUACAGAAAUUAACUUUGAGACCAGAAUUACAGAGAAGAAAAACCAAAACCCAACCCUGCAUGGUCAAGUGGUGCUAACCCAAGACUGUAACAGGGAGAAAUGCCCAGAAUCAUCAAAAUAGUGAAAGACUGAUCUGUUCAAAAUAUUUGCUAUAUGCACUGGGUAUAAUCCGUAAUCCAUACACUGCCAGAUAAUGCCAUUUCAAGGAAGGAUCGAAUACUUGAUGGUAAAGGCCAAGUCCCCCUGUAUUGGGAAGUGUGUGAUUUCGGCAGACCUGCUGGGAAAAU
rnacentral:lncRNA from 1 species